rfam:Picea glauca, whole genome shotgun sequence.
ACAUGCUUACAACAUAGCGUUAAUGCACCAGAUCCCAUUAGAACUCCGUAGUUAAGCGCACUCGAGCUAGAGUAGUACCGGGAUAGGUGACUGCCUGAGAAGUCCUAGUGUUUUACAUGCC